rfam:Triticum aestivum genome assembly, contig: Triticum_aestivum_CS42_TGACv1_scaffold_289784_4AL
UUACUACUCCCUCCGUCCAGAAAAACUUGUCCCUCAAAUGGAUGUAUCUAGCACCAAGUUAGUGCUAAAUACAUCCAUUUGAUGGAUAAGCUUGGGACAAGCUUUUCCGGACGGCAGGAGUACCUU